ACUCAAAGGAAUUGACGGGGGCCCGCACAAGCGGUGGAGCAUGUGGUUUAAUUCGACGCAACGCGAAGAACCUUACCCAGGCUCGAACGGCAUCUGACAUCCUACGAAAGUAGGCUCCCGCAAGGGCAGGUGUCGAGGUGCUGCAUGGCUGUCGUCAGCUCGUGUCGUGAGAUGUUGGGUUAAGUCCCGCAACGAGCGCAACCCUUGUCUUCUGUUGCCAUCAGGUUAUGCUGGGCACUCUGAAGAGACUGCCGGUGACAAACCGGAGGAAGGUGGGGAUGACGUCAAGUCAGCAUGGCCUUUAUGUCUGGGGCCACACACGUGCUACAAUGGCAGAUACAAACCGUUGCGAGACCGCAAGGUGGAGCUAAUCGGAUAAAGUCUGUCUCAGUUCGGAUUGUAGGCUGCAACUCGCCUGCAUGAAGUUGGAAUCGCUAGUAAUCGCGGAUCAGCACGCCGCGGUGAAUACGUUCCCGGGCCUUGUACACACCGCCCGU
rnacentral:rRNA from 1 species